UGCACCGUUUUUUCUGUUUCU
rnacentral:piRNA from 1 species